GGGGAUGAUGUGAGGGUAGGUGGCUGAGAAGUGAUGACCUAAUCGGCCCUGACC
rnacentral:snoRNA from 1 species